UUUUUGCUUGUUUGUUUCACUAUUUAUCCCUCAUCACAAAGGUGGUUCUUGCUAAGAAUAUCACCAUCUUCUGCAAAAUGUCAGGACUACACUGUGUUCACUGCAAAACAAUAGUUUGCAAUUCUAAAAUUACUACAUCCUCACAAAAGAGCAUUAAGUUUUGAUAGCUUUCACUUAGUGUGUCAGUUUUUAUGUUGGUAUGAUGUAUAGUGGAAGACCAGAAGACGUGGGCAGGAGUUGUGAGAGAAGGCAAUGCACAGAUAAAGGACAUCAUGCCACAAUAAUAGUUGAUAAACUGGAUCAACAAGUGAAAAGAGUCAGAUCUGUCAAUUGCCAUGAUGACCAAGAUAUUCAACGGGGAAAUGUGGAAAGCCGCCAUAUUCCCAGUCAUUACUUUGCCAAAUCAUCUAUGCAGCACCACUAAG